GGACGGGUGAGUAAUGCUUAGGAAUCUGCCUAUUAGUGGGGGACAACGUUCCGAAAGGAGCGCUAAUACCGCAUACGUCCUACGGGAGAAAGCAGGGGACCUUUGGGCCUUGCGCUAAUAGAUGAGCCUAAGUCGGAUUAGCUAGUUGGUAGGGUAAAGGCCUACCAAGGCGACGAUCUGUAGCGGGUCUGAGAGGAUGAUCCGCCACACUGGGACUGAGACACGGCCCAGACUCCUACGGGAGGCAGCAGUGGGGAAUAUUGGACAAUGGGGGGAACCCUGAUCCAGCCAUGCCGCGUGUGUGAAGAAGGCCUUUUGGUUGUAAAGCACUUUAAGCGAGGAGGAGGCUACCUAGAUUAAUACUUUAGGAUAGUGGACGUUACUCGCAGAAUAAGCACCGGCUAACUCUGUGCCAGCAGCCGCGGUAAUACAGAGGGUGCGAGCGUUAAUCGGAUUUACUGGGCGUAAAGCGUGCGUAGGCGGCCAAUUAAGUCAAAUGUGAAAUCCCCGAGCUUAACUUGGGAAUUGCAUUCGAUACUGGUUGGCUAGAGUAUGGGAGAGGAUGGUAGAAUUCCAGGUGUAGCGGUGAAAUGCGUAGAGAUCUGGAGGAAUACCGAUGGCGAAGGCAGCCAUCUGGCCUAAUACUGACGCUGAGGUACGAAAGCAUGGGGAGCAAACAGGAUUAG
rnacentral:rRNA from 1 species